rnacentral:lncRNA from 1 species
GGACAACAUAUACAAAACCAUUUGAUCAAUUGUCAAACAUGAGUUAUUUCAAAAAUCACCACCUUUUCUGCAUAAAUUCAGGACAACAUAUACAAAACCAUUUGAUCAAGUGUCAAACAUGAGUUAUUUAAAAAAUCACCACCUUUUCUUCUUAUUCAUUUUUGCACUUAACCUUGCUUUAGGGACAAGUUCUAAGUUGACCCCUAGACUUGCUUUAUUUAGUCCUGGUUAUCUAAUGCAUAUUAUCGACAACAUCCCAACUAAUUCUCCAGCUUUGACUCUUCGUUGUCAAUCUAAAAAUGACGAUCUAGG